rnacentral:rRNA from 1 species
GACGAACGCUGGCGGCGUGCCUAAUACAUGCAAGUUGAGCGAUGAAGAUUGGUGCUUGCACCAAUUUGAAGAGCAGCGCACGGGUGAGUAACGCGUGGGGAAUCUGCCUUUGAGCGGGGGACAACAUUUGGAAACGAAUGCUAAUACCGCAUAAUAACUUUAAACAUAAGUUUUAAGUUUGAAAGAUGCAAUUGCAUCACUCAAAGAUGAUCCCGCGUUGUAUUAGCUAGUUGGUGAGGUAAAGGCUCACCAAGGCGAUGAUACAUAGCCGACCUGAGAGGGGGAUCGGCCACAUUGGGACUGGGACACGGCCCAAACUCCUACGGGAGGCAGCAGGAGGGAAUCUUCGGCAAUGGACGAAAGUCUGACCGAGCAACGCCGCGUGAGUGAAGAAGGGUGUCGGAUCGUAAAACUCUGUUGGUAGAGAAGAACGUUGGUGAGAGUGGAAAGCUCAUCAAGUGACGGUAACUACCCAGAAAGGGACGGCUAACUACGUG